AGGCCGGGGUUGCCAAGCAACCGGUAAACGCCGCCGUUUGAGGAGCACCGGAGCCGCGACCGUGGAUUGAACGCUUCCCCAGAGACCCAGAAGCAGAAGGAGCGGACCCAGGCAGCCGGCACCAUGGAGAUUGUGUACGUGUACGUCAAGAAGCGCAGCGAGUUCGGGAAGCAGUGCAAUUUCUCGGACCGCCAGGCCGAGCUGAACAUCGACAUCAUGCCCAACCCUGAGCUGGCCGAGCAGUUCGUGGAGCGGAACCCAGUGGACACGGGCAUCCAGUGCUCGAUCAGCAUGUCGGAACACGAGGCCAACUCAGAGCGGUUUGAGAUGGAGACCCGGGGAGUUAACCAUGUCGAGGGGGGCUGGCCCAAGGACGUGAACCCCCUGGAGCUGGAGCAGACCAUCCGUUUCCGGAAGAAAGUGGAGAAAGAUGAGAACUACGUUAACGCCAUCAUGCAGCUCGGCUCUAUCAUGGAGCACUGCAUCAAGCAGAACAAUGCCAUUGACAUCUAUGAAGAGUAUUUCAAUGACGAGGAGGCCAUGGAAGUGAUGGAGGAGGACCCUUCAGCUAAAACCAUCAAUGUGUUCAGGGACCCCCAGGAAAUCAAGAGGGCUGCCACACACCUCUCCUGGCACCCCGAUGGCAACAGGAAGUUGGCAGUGGCAUACUCCUGCUUGGAUUUUCAGCGGGCACCUGUGGGCAUGAGCAGCGAUUCAUACAUCUGGGACCUGGAAAACCCCAACAAGCCUGAACUUGCUCUGAAGCCAUCGUCUCCACUCGUGACGUUGGAGUUCAACCCCAAAGAUUCCCACGUACUCCUGGGUGGCUGCUACAAUGGACAGAUAGCCUGCUGGGACACCCGAAAGGGCAGCCUGGUGGCGGAGCUAUCCACCAUUGAGUCCAGCCACCGAGACCCUGUGUAUGGCACCAUCUGGCUGCAGUCGAAGACGGGCACCGAGUGCUUCUCAGCUUCCACGGAUGGGCAGGUCAUGUGGUGGGACAUCCGAAAGAUGAGCGAGCCCACUGAAGUUGUGAUCUUGGACAUCACCAAGAAGGAACAGUUGGAAAAUGCCUUGGGGGCCAUCUCCCUGGAGUUCGAAUCUACUUUGCCCACCAAGUUCAUGGUGGGGACCGAGCAGGGCAUCGUCAUCUCCUGCAACCGCAAGGCCAAGACGUCAGCUGAAAAGAUUGUGUGCACCUUCCCGGGCCAUCAUGGCCCCAUCUACGCCCUCCAGAGAAACCCCUUCUACCCGAAGAACUUCCUGACGGUUGGCGACUGGACAGCCCGCAUUUGGUCUGAAGACAGCCGGGAAUCGUCCAUCAUGUGGACCAAGUACCACAUGGCUUACCUCACUGAUGCUGCCUGGAGCCCCGUGAGGCCGACCGUUUUCUUUACCACCAGGAUGGACGGAACCCUGGAUAUCUGGGACUUCAUGUUCGAGCAGUGCGAUCCCACCCUCAGCUUGAAGGUGUGUGACGAGGCCCUCUUCUGCCUCCGGGUGCAGGACAAUGGGUGUCUCAUCGCCUGCGGCUCCCAGCUGGGGACAACCACCCUGCUGGAGGUCUCGCCUGGGCUCUCUACCCUCCAGAGGAAUGAGAAGAACGUAGCCUCUUCCAUGUUUGAGCGUGAGACCCGGCGAGAGAAGAUCCUGGAGGCCAGGCACCGGGAGAUGCGGCUGAAGGAGAAGGGUAAGGCGGAGGGCAGGGAUGAGGAGCAGACCGAUGAGGAGCUGGCCGUAGACCUGGAGGCGCUGGUCAGCAAGGCCGAGGAGGAGUUCUUCGACAUCAUCUUCGCAGAGCUGAAGAAGAAGGAGGCAGACGCCAUAAAGCUGACGCCAGUGCCUGCCCUCUUUUGUACCAGCGGAGAGAGGAAGAAAAGACAUUGCCUGUCUGGGUCACCUCCUUCAGGCCCCACAGAUAAGAUGCCAAGAUAUGAAAGAGCCAAAGAGCAGCGUGGAAGGGAAAAGAAACAGCGGGUAUAUGCCAGGAUUUACCCUUGUAGGCAAGACUGGCUGCAGACUUGGGGAUUGCAGGCACUGCAAAAUGAAAAUGUGAGGGCCCUCGUUUAAAAAGUAUUAAUAAUUUUAAAACAGUGACAAUAGAGCGUUAAACCAAGCGUGGGCCCUGCUGAGACAGGGUCCAGUGUAUCUGCACAGAGCACCCACCCAUGACGCCUGCUUGAAGAAGAGCUGUAUGGCAAGUUCUUGGUCCCUGAUAGAGUGGACAGAGCGAAGGAUGGUGCAUGAGCACACAGGGAAGAUAACUGGUUCCAUCUUGUGAUUUCUUCCCUCUUCUGCCUCCCUCCCCCUGGGUCUAAAGCUGUGAUUUCCACAGGUGCAUUUUGCAUUUGGGGGUACUUGGUUAUGAGAUGUUUUCUUCUCACACUGGGUAAUACAGGUGGGGCAGAGAGCUCCCUCCACUUCUGGUGGAGGCAAAACUAGAAUCCUGGAUUCUGACGCCUAAUCCAGGGCUCCUCCCACUCACCACUCCUGGCCUAUCCAGCCCUGCAGAAGGCAAAGAUGACACUGGCCACCUUUUACAACGCAAUGGUGGCUGCAGCAACCAAGUCCAGAAGAAGACCAGGUGGUGGAGGAGGGAGAGGAAGCAGCGGGGGAAGAAGGGGAUGAAGAAGUGGAAGAAGA